GAUAGCGUAAGGGAAAAUAAUGAUAUUACCUUUACUAUUAGUGUCGUGCAAAUCUGGUGCCAGAAGACUCGGUAAGGCCAGAGACGCAAACGUUAGUCAUCUUAAUCAGGCGUAAAGGGUUCGUAGGCAGCUUCAAAUUCUUAAUAAUUAAAAUUAACCAGCCCUCGCGCAAUCGCAACAGGGUGUAGUAAAAAUUAAGAAAAUUAGAGCUAGAAUCAAAUAGGGGUUAUAUUAAAUAAUACUUAGAGGAGGGCUAAUAUCCUAAGAACCUAAGGGGAAUACUUAUGGCGUAGGCUAUUUUUCCACUAUUGAUUGACGCUGAGGAACGAAGGUGAGGAUAGGAAAUAGGAUUAGAUACCCUGGUACCCCUCUCUGUCAACGAUGAAUGGUGGUUUCUAGAAUUAUUAUAUUCUGGUUUCUAUGCUAACGCGAUAACCAUUCCGCCUUGUGAGUACGGUUGCAAAACUGAAAACAAAAAAAUUAGUCGUUCUCGAAGCAAACGAAGUGAAGCAUGUUAUUUAAUACGAUAAUCCGCGUAAAACCUUACCAGUUCUUGCAUACUAAACUUCUAUCUUAAGAAUUAAUUUAUUAAUUAUUAAGAGAAAAUAGAAGGAAUGUUUCACAUUUUCUGCGCAGACCUAACGGUUUCGUAGUUGAAACAUUUUGUUACAGGUGUUGCAUGGCUGUCGUCAGUCCGUAUCGUGAGAAGUGAGGUUAACUCCACUAACGGACGCAAUCCCUGUUUUUAAUUUAAACUUAAAAAUUUAUGGAAAUGAUAGAUUCCAUUGGGCUAG
rnacentral:rRNA from 1 species